GCACAGAGGACGCAAGAAGGCCGGUCACCGGUUUGACACAUGCAUGGAGAGGCUGCACCGGAGAGCAGCACUGCGUCCUGCUCUGUGGGUGUGCACCUGUGUGUAUGUGUGUAUGUGUGUAUGUGUGUGUGUGUGUGUGUGUGUGUGUAGGUUUUUUUUUACCGAAUAAUUGUGCGUCUUCACUUUUGUUGUGAUCACUCCCUCUCCCCGCCUUCAUUCACAAUAUGUUUCCACUACGUAAAAUCCUAUAGGCUCUGUGUUAUGUAAUUGAUGUCUGCACUGGCUCCUCGUUUGUUUUCUGAAUGGACACAUUUGGAGAGAACACAGAGCUGCUGAGUGUGCAGCAGGAAUCCAACAUUUCACUUUGAUGUAUAAGCUUUUCAGCAUGGGCAUGCAUGAUUAUUAUAAAUGUGUAUAUGAAUUGGAGCAUAUUGAUUGACAGGCUUGCAGUGUGGGUGAGUAAUAAAGUAGAAAUCAUAUUGUCACAAAAGCUGGAUGGAAUACCCUUCAUGUGAAACAGAAAAACUCCACGUCAACUUAAUACCUGUAUUUUUGGACAUUUUAUUGUUUGAUGAAUUGGGAGAGGGUACUUGUGUCUUGUGUGUGUGUGUGUGUGUGUGUGUGUGUGUGUGUGUGUGUGUGUGUGUGUCUGCGUGUGCGUGUGUGUGUGUGUGCGUGUGUGUGUGUGUGUGUGUGUGUGUGUGUACAUUGCCAUGAAACAUAAAUCAUGGUAGUUGUGAACCCAUACUGACCAGUUUGGAAACUAUAGAUGUCCAAGCUUACUGUGGUAUAAUUUACAACAACAAUAACAAAAAAAAAAAUCACCUGGGGUUGGGCUACAUAUUCCCUCUAAAAAAUAUACUGAUGGUCACAAGAUUGCCUUCUUAUGUAAAAUUAAAAAAAGGAGAGUAGUUAAUUUGACACUGGGUUUUAUUUAUUCCUAUGGUAUUAAGGGAUUAUAAUGCAGCUGUUGUCACGGUACCAAUUUCAAUCAUUUUACUGAAAUGUUGACUUCCUGUCGCCGUUGGCGGCGGCGGGGGUAAAUAUUUCUCACAUGUUUUGUAAUUGUCGUCCAUGCAUUUUGACGGUUGAGUUUACUAAAAAAAUUAGGGUGUGUUGACGAGACAGUAUUUGAGCAAAAAUAUGUUUCUUUUUUUCUGAAGUUUGGAGUUUAACUCAUUUGCAUACACUGCCACUAAUAUCCUACUAAACGACUGUUAAGGCUAGUAGACCUCUUCCAUUUCAAAACAUGAGAAAAAAAGAAAGAUUCUUUUGCUGAUGGUUGUUUUUUAUUUUAGCCUUCUGACGUUCACAGUUAUGGCAGGCUGGCAUAUGCGACUAAACUCUCUCCUUCAUAAUUGCUGCUCCUUAACUCGCACCUGACUGUUAUGGGAUGUAGAUUGAAAUUGUCACUUGAACUAUUGUUAUUGAGUAGCCUACAUGGUUGUAAAUUGAUAAUUAUAAUAUAAGGGUGGGGGGUGGGAGGGUAGGCUUGUUGUUGAUUGGAUCGGUGUUAAAGAGGGAGGGAUUUAAUUGGAAUCAAUCGGAAACAAAUGCCAUCCUGAUCCGAGAGCCUCUGUAUAACCCGUUCAUUACUAUUGCAAAGCUAUUUCAGCAAGUGGGAGCUAAAUGCAUUUAUGUGUUGGCUCUCCCUGAAGGCUCCUGCAACGUUUUGAAAGGAAAUACAGUCUCGAAGCAAAACAAGUAGCUCCAUUGAAACCAUUCGUGAUAUACCACAAGUUGCAGACGGACUUUCUAGACGAUAGUAUACAUUCCUGAUUUUUCUAAAAAUAAAAACCUAGACACAGCAUGUACAGAAUAGAUUUUGGAAGCUAGUGUGCGCAAGUUGUCAUCCAUGCAUCACAUCACGUAAAUGCUCAUUUCUGAUAUUUGAAUUGUUUUGUAUUGCUUUUUAUUCGAAAUAGGACACACACACACAUACACACACACACACGUACAACUGCCUGCAACUGCAAUCUGAAGGAUUUGCUCCUUUAUGUGAGCAAACACUUUUCGUAGUUGUAUCGUUAAAAGAAUAACUAACUGCAUUACAGUACAGUCUUAAAAAGACCUGCUGUAGAUUUAAAAAAAACAAAAAACAACAAAGUGCUACUUUGCACAUUUUCUUAAAAAUGCCUGUGCUUAAUAUUUAAUCAUUUUUCCUUAAAUGAACUUCUAUGAUUUUUCUUUUAUUCAAUUUCAAAGGAAAAAAAAAAACAUUUUUUUAAAUCUUGAUAAGUGGACUGCAUUAUUUUCUUGCAUAUAUGUUGCACUGCUUAAACCAAUAAGUGCACUACUGUUAACAGAGAUAUUAUAGUUUUAGAAAAGAGGAUUUUUUUUUUUUUUUUAAAUCUAACAUUUGGUUGUAGAGUUCACAUGUUAAUAGAAUAGCUUUGUUUCAAUUUAUUCAUUAAGUAAUUCAGCGGUUCUUGGCUUUUGUUAUCGCUUGCAGUUACCUACAGUAUAUCCUCGUGCCGUGUUGAUGCAAGCAUUUAUUUUUAUUUAAAUAUGUACCAUUACGUGUGCUCAUCUACGUUUUAACCUUUUGGAUUCAUUCUUUUUAUGGAGUCAGCUCCCUAUAACAGUUAAUCAAUCUCUUUAGAAACAGACAGAAUUUUCCUACGAGAACAUCCAAGCCAAACAACAUUAACAGUGAAACAGUAAUAAUAAACGCAACUCCCGUCCGUUGGCGGAGGUAAUAAUAAUAAUAACUAUUAUUAUCUUAUUAAUAAUACAUUUAUAAUGUGUGUGUGUAACAUAAAUGAUACGUGUGUCCUAGAACAACUUUGUGUGGUUAAAGGUGUGGGGAGGUGAUGGAAUGCAGCUUCUUUGAUAUCUUGUCUGUCGGUUGUACACAGUCGUGUCCCUUCCUUAGUGUUCGUAUGUCUGUGAGUGUCUGUGUGGUUAUAAAGCCUAAUCAAACUGUUAAUAAGUGGAAUAUCUGAACUGUAGGGCUUCCUUUGCAAUAUGCAGAGCAGGUACUAUGUAUGAGAAGCAGCUCUCCAAACCCUUUUGGGCUAAUACGCCACCUGUUGUUCGGAGAUUUGACGGCGGAGUCAAGUACUGUUGUACUUCCGUUUGGAGAAGUUCUAUCCAGCAUUUUGAAUUUUCAUAUAAUUGCUACUAGAUUUCUGAUCCCUGUGGUGAAGUGAAGUCAAGUGAUGAACAUGUGAGAGAUUCUGGUUUCUCCAAAAAAAAAAAAAAGGUUAGGUGAGGUCAGUCCUCAGUAAAAGUAGCACAUUAUUUAACAUUUGAUUGGGCCUGUCUCCUUAUGGUGCGCAUUAUAAGCCUAAAUUGUUCCCUGUUUGUAGCUGUCGUUGCCGGGAUGGCGAUAUUGCUGCAUGCUAGUGCUAUAUUUGUCUCUACACAGCACGUGGAGGGUAAUCUCAUGCCUUAACGGACAAUGCACUAAAUAGAAUAUGUAAGCAACUGCCGAGAUCUCUUUUCCAACAGUACUGCCACAUGUUAUGGCGCACAGCUCACAACGUUGGUGUUGUUGUCUGUUCAAGUUAAACACUGCCAAACUAACACCGUCACUUCUUCGAAGGCAGAGAAUUGUUUCAGUGUAACGUGUGUGUGUGUGUUCGGUAAUCUAGCAUUCCUUCAUGGCACCUAAAUUUUUACAUAUUUUGUGUAAACACAUAUAUCAAAUGCACUAUUGACUGUAGCUAGAUGAGUACAACCAGCUUUGUGGUAUCAUUGGUCUAAAUAGUAGGUUAAGUAGCUCAAUGUUUGAAAUAUUUGAUUUCAGAAUUACACUAUCGAUUGUUUCUCUAUCUUCUUCUCUCUUAUUUUUUUUUUGGAAUAACAAAAGUAGCCAAUCUCAACGUUAUCCGGAUGAGGGCUAAUAACUCGUCCCAUCGUCAGUUCUUGUAUCAUACGGUGUUUUGAUAGCAGACCAGGCUCGUAAAGGGGAAAAACCUUCUCUCCAGUGUGUCAUAACGUGCUAUAGCAUACCCUAACCCUCCCCUGUUGCAUUAGCAUCACACGCUCUCCACUGUCCAUAGUUAUAUAUUCCUUAUACUGCUUCAGCUACUCGUAGUGGUGCUUAUUAAUUCUCUUUUCUCUCAGUGUUGCGAAAAAGUCGGUUAAAAAUCGUUGAAAAGUUGCAACAUUAUCCAGAAAAUAAGUCCUUAUCUCAAUCGUGCUUCUUCUAGUUGUUAGUUUGAAAAAAAGAAAGAAAAAAAAACAGAAAAAAAAGUCUUUAUGUUUGCAAAGUGUUCGCAUAUUUUCCAGAACAAAAACAUAUUGAAAAGUAGAUACUAGCCUUGAGCCUGCAGCUGUUUGUAUUGUGUUUCAAAUAUAUUACUGUUCAUGUUUUGUUUAUCUAGCGUAGAGACACAGGGUCUACAGUACAUUGUUGUCCUUCUUGCAGUAUGUUUAAUUCAUCGUUAUACUUCUUUAUUUCAGACUUCCUCCUGCUUUUGUUUUUGUUUUUAAUGGUGAUCAUAGUGGUGUUGUUUAUACAUACAUAGCUUUCACGCAACUGGAUAAAGGAUAGUCAGUUAUUGAGUCAUAUUUCACAGUGUACUAUAUAUAUGCUUAUAUGCUUUGCAUUGAAAACAAGGAAAUGGAAGAUAGUAAUGGUGAGGGUCAUGUUGAGUAAGGAACAGGUUUGUUUUAUUCUGAUAAGCAUGCGUCUGUCUUCCUGUUUGUCUUUCAGUCUGUCUCCACACAUUUUUUUUUUUUAAAGUCAGAUCUUUUUUAUUUAAGCUUGAAUGAAGUCACAAAGUGAAGAGUAGAAUACAGAAAACACAUCCAGAUAAUUUUUCUUUUUUGGGCCUUCAACAGUACACAUAAGAAUGAAAUAGAUAACUUCUUACAAAUAUAUAUACGAUAUAUAUUUAAGUAUCACCAUCUCCACACAGAUGAAGAUUACAUUUACAAUUUAAAGACAUACUUGCAGCUAGAGUAUACAGUAUACAGUACCAUGUGGGAUUUAGGGGAUAUGCCUAUCAAGUGCCUAUCAGUACAUACAGCAACUAUACAGAAUAUUCAUAGUUUUUCUCUCCUACAUUGCACAGAUACAGUAUAUACACAAUGGUCUAUUAAAACAAAUACUAUUUAUACUACUACUGCUAAGACCUACAUCCUAAGAGAACCCUUUAAAAAUGUUCUAUUUCAUAUACAGUAAAAGCUACAUCUGCAAGUUUUAUUUUUUAUCCUACAUCUAUACGGUCUGGAGGAUUCAAAGAUAUAAAAUGCAAUCACAUUUUUUUAAAUGAAAUAUACAAAUAGGUUGAGUAGAAAAAUAUUAUGUAAUCUUAAAAUUGAAUGACCUUUUUUUUCUUUCACGUUGCUCUCUCUCUCUCAUUGCUGUUUGGCAUUUUACACAAUGCCAGUUUUAGUUUCAGUUUUUCGCCAUUUGCAAACAAGCCAUAUACUGUACUGUAUGUUUGUGGGGGGGGGGGAAGGGUAGUGGCACUUUGUGAACAGCAGAGGGAGCCACACAUCAACUGGUGAAGUUAACACUGCCUGCCACAAUGAACAAAAUAUCGAAAUAUCGAAUAUUUGGAUUUUUUUGAUUCAGUUGUUGGUAAAUAUUGCCAUUCUUCAGAUUGGAAUAGCAUCUAUAAGCAUGGCAGUAGUUACCCACAAUGGCACUUUGUGUCCUUUGCCCUUGAUGACUCUAUAACAUGCAAGCCACUGCCCAGUUCCCCCACAACGACCAUUAAAGUUUUAUCUUAUCUGACGGCCUUGUUGUUUACGUGCAGCUUGAAAUUGUAAAGGGCAAGCAACGAGCAGCGUGAAAAAAAAAAAAAAAAAAGAAACUGGUCAUUUAGAUAUUUAUCCACUCCAGUACUUGGAUGCAAAAUGAGAUUACAAAUUUAGAUAAGAUAAAAUAAGAUUUAUUAGUCCCACAUCGGGGAAAUUCGCAAAUUAAAAAUUACAUUCAAUUAAAUUGAAAGUUUUGGCAACAGCGGACACACACAAAGAGCAUUCAAACGUCUUUAAGUGGUUGGUUUAACAACGUGAAAACAAAACUAAAAGAAAAUCUAGUAGAAUAAAAAGCAAGUUUCAGGACCGAGUGGCUGCGAGAUAAAAGGUUUUGGGAUGGCUUAUUAUUCUGUCCCCUGUGGACUAAUUAGUUUUCUCUGUAACCUUCUCCAGCCUAGUUACUGUGCCAAAUUUAGGAGGGGAAAAAAAACAAAUUGCACCACUAUUGUUGAAUUAGAUGUGAGAACAAAAGCAGACAAAAAUCUUUUUUUAAAUAAGAAAUUUCUGCAAAACCUAUAACAUAAUAUAUUACAUCAAAUUAAAAUGCAUCAUACCAAAAGCAAGUGAUUGCCUUUAUUUUGAAUCUUUAAAUCCUCCAUAAUACAUAGUUUUCAAGUAAAUAGGAGAAAACAGCUAUGAUAAACAAAUGCACAUUUUGAAGGCUUAGUUUCAUAGACAUUUAACGUUAAAAUGAAGCAUAAUAAUAAUAAUAAUAAUAAUAAUAUAGGCAAUGUGAUAUAGCUAGUCCCUGUCAUCCAGCCGUCACACUGUGACGCAAACACAAACAGCAUCUAUUACAGUCAAACAUCCAGAUUUUGAUUUUGAGCUUCACACACACUCAGUGAAGCAGAUUUUUAAAGUACGACGCAGCUAAACUAAGCUAUAACAUCUACAUUAUAUUCACUAUGACGCUUUCUCCGAACAUGCAGUUAUUACACUACCCUGAUGAGGUUUUUAAUAAACAUCACCAUCAGGUUAACUACCAUCCAUCAGUCCAAAUGAAGCAUGCAGUCCUGUCUACACAGCUUCUUUCUUUCCUGUAGGGGAGUUCUUUGUUUUUGAUGGAGCACGAGCUAUAUUUUGAGUGUCCCUCGAUAACAGGCUUUCUGUAUCUUUUUUAUCACAGUGAUGAGGAGACUUGGGCGUGAUUUAGCCUCUGAAGACUAAACAUUGAGCCUCUUUGUGUUCUCACUCGUCUUUUUUUUUGUUGUUGUUUUUUGGCUUAGUCCAGCUUCGACGAGACGAUUAAACUAAAAACAUGCAUUCCUGUUCAAGUCCAGAUCAUUCCAACUCCUAGUCUGGCAUUCGUUUUUCCACGCUUAACUAACCUUUUACACAUCUGUUGGAUAUUUGGUCAUGUAGUAGCAAACAUUGCCCAUUACAUCAAAAGUUUAGUAUAUUUCCCUCAAAUAGAUCACUUUUUUAAUCUCAUAAUUCAAAAAUUUUGCCACAAACCUCAUGAGCUUAUGCUUGUGUGGGCCGGUUUCUAUAACCAACAUGCACUAUGCUAUCACUCUGUUUCUCUAUGUAGAUCUCUCUUUCAUAGUGCAGAGAAAUAAAAUACAAAAAAAGCAGCAAAAAGAUCACUGUCUCAGCCAGCACAUAGUCCGCCAGAAUGGACAUGCAGAUCCAAACUUUUAGCACUGUAAUGUACCUAAAGGAGGCCGGUGGAGGUCAUUUGUAAAGCGGGGCCAUGCUAAUCAUUAGAAGUCAAAUGAUAAAAAAAAAAAAA